UACAGGGGGGGCAAGCGUUGUUCGGAAUUACUGGGCGUAAAGGGCUCGUAGGCGGCCAACUAAGUCCGACGUGAAAUCCCCAGGCUUAACCUGGGAACUGCGUCGGAUACUGGUUGGCUUGAAUCCGGGAGAGGGAUGCGGAAUUCCAGGUGUAGCGGUGAAAUGCGUAGAUAUUGGAAAGACCACCGACGGCGAAGGCACUUUACUGGGCCAUUACUGACACUAAGAGACGAAAGCUAGGGGAGCAAAUGGG
rnacentral:rRNA from 1 species